GGAGCUGUGGCUCAGUGGUAGAGUGCUUGUCUAGCAUGCAUGAGGCACUGGAUUGGUUCCUCAGCAUCA
rnacentral:tRNA from 1 species